AUAGAGGCGGAAACAAUAAGACAGACUAGACACAUAUGGUAAAGAAUGUCGUAUCUACUGUUGUUGUUUCCGUAUGUUCUCACCCUGAUGGUGAGGGCGGACACAACAUCAAGAGCUGCGGAUAUCUCCACAAUCAUGACAACGGAACCCAUUAUCAGUGUGUCGGAGACAGAAUCAACGGCUGAGUCGAUAACGCAAGAAGCCAUUACUACCGAAACAACCCAAGUUAAUAUGACCCCAACAGAUUUUUCGUCUUCGGUGACAUCUGUGUCUGACACAAUGGAACCGUUCAGCACCUCGACCAUCAAAACAGAUGCCCCAACGGCCCGCACUAGCACCUCUAUCUCCUCGAUAAAUGGAGAGAACACUACCACCGGUACAGAAAUGGCUUCAACUACAUCGUAUGCAUUAACAACAACGGUCCUUCUAUCAUCAUCAACAACUUCUACCACUCAGGGACAAACCGUUUCCAGUACAUCUACGGAAGGGACCAGCACGGGAACAACAUUAAGUUCAUUUCAAGAUAAAAUAAAAGACCUAAAUGGACAAAUCUCUGACUUGGAGGAGCAGAAGUUUAAUCUGUUGAUUGGUGUAGUUGCUCUUGCAUCCGUUCUUGUUCUGGUUUUGCUGAUCAUCACCAUUGUAUGCAUAAAGAAACAAAGAAAAAAGUCUAGGUCUCCAUUUGAGGAGUUUGAGAUAGACGUGGGAAGUCCCUUCAUGACGAGGGAGCCAGUAAGACACGACGACCUGUUUCGUCCUCGAUGUGCAACAGUGGGAAACAACGAUUCGGGAGACAACAUGAGGCUAGAAACGUUCUCCCGAGAGGAGGAAAACAAACAACGCCUGAGCAUGCUACAGAUGAUAAAGGAGGGGCUCAGUUCCCCAGACCGUUACUCAGUCCUUAUCGAAACGCAGGGGUCUGAAAUCCACAACGAGGAGUUGAAUAGAAAUAGCACAGAGAAACCAAAAGAUCCACAUAACAAUGAUGGUGAAAUUAUUAAUAGGGACAAGGAUACCAAAGACGCGUCUUCAGGCGAUCUGAAAGCAGACCAAGAGACAGGGAGCAGAAAAUCUGGCAUAAAAGAAGCAUCUGGUGUCAUACCAACUGUGAAAGAUUCUCUAGGGGUGUCUGGAAGCCUACCCCCUUUUCCACCAAAAAGGGCUAGCGCUAACUAUGCACCGAAACAUUCAGAGGAGAUGUCGUCCAACCUACCCCCUCUACCAACGAAAGGGGCUCACGAUACUCUGAAGGAUUCAAAGGAAAUAACUGAAAACCUUUCCCCUCAACCAACGAAAGUUGGCGAGGACAAUCCAAACGAUUCAAAGGAGAUCCCUGAUAACCUUCCUCCUCAACCAACAAGUGUGGAUGCAGAGAAUCCGAAAGAAGAAUCAAAUGAAGUAAUAAAUAGUCUACCCCCACCGCCUCCAGAACUUAAAGACCCCGGGAACUUGACUGUAGAGACUAGUGAUUCUCAAGAUAAAUUACUAAGUGAUGCUUUAACAGUUGACACAGUCGACGCCAACGCAGUAAAAUAAUGGAAAGAAUAGUUCUAUAUCAUUUUUGGUUUUAAACUUUAUGGUUGAUAUUUUUAUUAUGGAUACAUUUUUAACAGAUCUGGAGGUUUUUGCAAUAAUAUAUUUUUUUAAAAACUGCCAUAUACGGAUGGUUUGUAGACGUAAUAUAUUAAGUAACAUUGCGAAAAGUCCUUGACUACAUGUACCUUCAGAGUAAUGACAAAUUGUAGGCUUUCCAUGUGGCAUUUAGGUACAUAAAAGGGACACGAUCUAAACUUUGAUUGAGAAGUGGAAUCAAGAGAGUUGGGAUUUAAAUCGACAACAAACUUGGUCCAUGGCAAUUGAUAGAGAUUGACUUAUAUUAGAAUAAUUAUGUGAAGAAGCAUGUAUGUAAAAAAUCAAAAUCAAUGUUUGGUGUACUAGAAAGAAGACUUAUGUGAAGUUGCAGUAAUUUGGUUAAGUGUCUUUUCUCAUAUGAUUAUUUUAACAAAUAACAUAAAUUAUACCAGCAAGGACUAAAGGAUAAAAAAAAUCUUUUUAAGAGUGAUGUAUUACUUUUUCUGUAUCAGUAUAUUGAAAUUCUAUUUUUUUUAAAAAUACAUACAUAAUUCUAAC
rnacentral:misc_RNA from 1 species